UACGGAGGAUGCAAGCGUUAUCCGGAAUGAUUGGGCGUAAAGGGUCCGCAGGUGGCAGUGUAAGUCUGCUGUCAAAGAAUGAGGCUUAACCUCAUCAAGGCAGUGGAAACUACACAGCUAGAGUACGGUCGGGGUAGAAGGAAUUCCUGGUGUAGCGGUGAAAUGCGUAGAGAUCAGGAAGAACACCGGUGGCGAAAGCGUUCUGCUAGACCUGUACUGACACUGAGGUGCGAAAGCGUGGGGAGCAAACAGG
rnacentral:rRNA from 1 species